rnacentral:rRNA from 1 species
UGAAGCCAAGCUUGCUUGGUGGAUCAGUGGCGAACGGGUGAGUAACACGUGAGCAACCUGCCCUGGACUCUGGGAUAAGCGCUGGAAACGGCGUCUAAUACUGGAUAUGAGACGUGAUCGCAUGGUCGUGUUUGGAAAGAUUUUUCGGUCUGGGAUGGGCUCGCGGCCUAUCAGCUUGUUGGUGAGGUAAUGGCUCACCAAGGCGUCGACGGGUAGCCGGCCUGAGAGGGUGACCGGCCACACUGGGACUGAGACACGGCCCAGACUCCUACGGGAGGCAGCAGUGGGGAAUAUUGCACAAUGGGCGGAAGCCUGAUGCAGCAACGCCGCGUGAGGGAUGACGGCCUUCGGGUUGUAAACCUCUUUUAGCAGGGAAGAAGCGAAAGUGACGGUACCUGCAGAAAAAGCGCCGGCUAACUACGUGCCAGCAGCCGCGGUAAUACGUAGGGCGCAAGCGUUAUCCGGAAUUAUUGGGCGUAAAGAGCUCGUAGGCGGUUUGUCGCGUCUGCUGUGAAAUCCCGAGGCUCAACCUCGGGCCUGCAGUGGGUACGGGCAGACUAGAGUGCGGUAGGGGAGAUUGGAAUUCCUGGUGUAGCGGUGGAAUGCGCAGAUAUCAGGAGGAACACCGAUGGCGAAGGCAGAUCUCUGGGCCGUAACUGACGCUGAGGAGCGAAAGGGUGGGGAGCAAACAGGCUUAGAUACCCUGGUAGUCCACCCCGUAAACGUUGGGAACUAGUUGUGGGGACCAU